rnacentral:rRNA from 1 species
UACGUAGGGGGCAAGCGUUGUCCGGAUUUAUUGGGCGUAAAGAGCGUGUAGGCGGCCAUUCAGGUCAGCUGUGAAAACUCGAGGCUCAACCCCGAGACGUCGGUUGAAACCGUUUGGCUAGAGUCCGGAAGAGGAGAGUGGAAUUCCCGGUGUAGCGGUGAAAUGCGCAGAUAUCGGGAAGAACACCCGUGGCGAAGGCGACUUACUGGACACAUAUUGACGCUGAGGUGCGAAAGCGUGGGGAGCAAACAGG